UUUUUUUUUUUUUUUUUGUCUUUUAGGGCCACACCGGCAGCAUAUGGAGGUUCCCAGGCUAGGAGCUGAGUCGGAGCUGUAGCCACCAGCCUACACCAGAGCCACAGCAACACAAGAUCUGAGCCAUGUCUGUGACCUACACCACAGCUCACAGCAAUGACAGAUCCUUAACCCACUGAGCAAGAUCAGGGAUCGAACCUGCAUCCUCAUCCUAGUCGGGUUCGUUAACCACUGAGCCAUGAUGGGAACUCCUACAUUCCCUAAUAUUACCUUUCAUUAUGGUCUAUCCCAAAAGGCUGGAUAUAGUUCCCUGUGCUAUAUAGUAGGACCUCACUGCUUACCUAUUCUAAAUGUAAUAGUUGCAUCUACCAACCCCAAGCUCCCACGCCAUCCCACUCCCUCCCCCUUGGCAACAAUAAGUCUGUUCUCUCUCUCUCUCUUUUUUUUUCCCCCUUUAGAGUCGCAUCUGUGGCAUAUGAAAGUUCCCAGGCUAGGGAUCGAAACAGAGCUACAGCUCUCAGCCUACACCGCAGCCACAGCCACACCAGAUAUGAGAUGCACCUGCAACUACACCGUAGCUUGUGGCAAUAUCGGAUCCUUAACCCACUGACCUAGGCCAGGAAUUGAACCCACAUCCUCAUGGAUACUAGUUGUAUUCUUAACCCGCUGAGCCACAGCGGGAACUCCACAAGAACAGACUAUGUUUGUGAGUCUGUUUCUGUUUUGUAGUGGUUUUUUUUUUGUAGGUUCAUUUGUGCCAUAUUUUAGAUUCCACAUAUAAGUGAUAAUCAUAUGGUAUUUGUCUCUUUCUGACUUUACUAAGUAUGAUAAUCUCUAAUUGCAACCAUGUUGCUGCAAAUUUCAGACUUUAUUUCAAAAUGGAGAAACAAUUUAAGCUAAUAUUCCAGAAAUAUACUUUUCUAACAUUAUUAGAUGUUAAAAUAAAAGCACAGUAUCAAAAAACACCAAUCAAAACCAGGGUGACAGAAAACUCAUUAACCCAGAACAUGUAUGCUAGCUCUCUUGGCACGUGACCUACCCCCUACCAGUCCUGAGUAAUAAGUAUUGUCUUUUCUCCAUCCUGUGCUCCAAAGUAAGGUGGACUACUUAAGAGAUCCAUGGGCUUGAGCUUGAAAGAUUCCAGGGGGCCAGGUGAAACUGAGUCUAAAAUGUGAGAAUUAACUACUGCGAUCCUGGUAUUAACAACCACAAGUGGUCAGGGUCACUCUAAACCCCUAGAGGACCUCCCAGUUGCCUUUUGGGCCAUAUGGCCUUGACAGAUGUAGAAAGAUAGAAAGAUACAUAGCUAGAUAGAACUAUAUAUGAGGGAUAUUGUUUGCUUUUAAAAAUCAGACUACCCUCAAAAAGAGAAGGAUAUAAGAUAUUUGAUAUUGGAGGGAAGUCCCUUACUUAUGUUAACAAAAAUGAAUACCCAUGAAGUGCUUUGAAUAAUGGCUUUUUUUAAAAAUAAUCUCAACAUGGAUUUAAUAAAAUAGAAAGGCCUGGGUUUCAGUCCUCAGUUCUGCCACUUACUAGAUGUGAGACUUUAGCAAGUCUCUUAAUCUCCAACAGAACGCACCUUCAUUUGUGAAAUGAGCAAGAUAGUCAAACUUAACCUACCAACCCAAAGGAUUAUUUCUAGGGUCAAACUGGUUACAAGUAAACAUGUAAAAUCACUCUAUAAAUUCUAAAGCAGUCUCCAUAUCAGAUAUCCAUAAUAUUAACAAGACAACUGGGUAAAGUCUGCAUUCACUUCAACACUACAACUUAAAGUGGGUGGCUAGUUUCCUCACACUCCCUUUGCAUUCCCUGUUCCUCCAGACAUGGUAAAACCUGGUUUCUGCAGAAUAUAAUUUAACUUGAGUUACUGGGAAACAAAGUAAUUAGACAAUGAAUAACAGCCCACACAGGAUACAGCUUAAGAUUUGCGCAAAAGAAUGAUGAGAUGUUUGAUCCUGAGCAGGUGUUCUCCCUAGAUUGUUUAACCUCAGGCUGACUGAGUUUGAAAAAUACAACAUGUUCCCAGAUGGGUAAACCCUGGGGCCAUAGGCUUUACGGAAUUGCAUAGGUUCACAGGAGAGCCUGUGGGAGGAGGUCAGGGAAAUUUUCCAAGUAUUAAGGGCCUGGCUGGAAACCUUACCUUGAAGAAGUCUUGUUGCUGCGCACAAGCCCCCUUCCUGAAAUAGUAGCAGGACAACGCCAGUCUGUGCACAACCUGGCUAGAGGCUAUAAAAUGUGGAGAGAUGUUCACUGGCCUCCGGCGGACUCUAGGCAGCAGAGCAUGCCGGGAAAGGUGCCGGGCAUGCCGGGAAAGGUGCCGGGCAUGCCGGGAAAGACGCGGGUGUCCUGGAACAUGGCUGUUCUAACCCUGAGAGAGGAAAAAUGCGAUGCAGAGUCCUGGGGCCUUUUCAUGACAGGGAUGGCUCAGGGGCAGUGCUUAUGUUCAGUUAUGUCAGAAGUGAGAUUGCCCUAGCAGUGUAUGUUUUAGAGAUGUUUUUACAAGGCAAGACGGCUUGGGUUGUUUACAACUAGCAUCUCUUCUCCAAGAUGUGUCUCCUCCUUUGGGUUUCCCUUGUACUUCAGCUUGAUCUAGAUGGCCCAAAGGGGACUGUUACCUGGGGUUCUUCCCACAGUUCCGAGUGUUAAUGACCCCCACCUGGGCUGACUUCCUCAUCCUGGCUCUUUAAGUCUUCUCUGCCUGGGCUCUUCUAAUUUUUUACAAUACAGCAGGGAGAAAUGUCUCUGAACUUUUAGUUUUCCACCUGAAAUGGAUAAUGCAGGCCCUCAGAAGUUUCCAAAAUUGUACUUUAACUCCUAGUGUAAGUUUAUUCGUGUUAAACAAAUUCAUUUUAUGCUUGCAUUAAUUUGGGACAAGCCUGGCCUUAUGUGAGUGGAUUAUGGAUGAAAUCCUAUUAAAUAGAACUCUAUCUUUGACCAGACUGACCACAAUAUGCAAACAAAUUGGAAUACGGCUUCUGUGUCAUUUUGAACACAACAAAGGAUAUAGGAUUUACACUUUUCCUUCUCUCUUGUGCUUGCUUUCCCCCCACCUUCCCCGCGCCGGCCCCCGGCUUUCUGUAUGACUGUGCCGGAGAUUGACAAGGCAUUUGAUUUUGUGGUCUGAUUUCACAUUAGAGCUUUUCUAAGUGCUAAGUGGAAGACUUUCCUAACUCCCAGGUGAAACUAUCAUCGUUACUGCAUUUUUCAUAUGUAAUAUAAUCUAGUUCAAAUUUUAGGACAAAUAGAUCCAUCUGUGCAAAUUAACCCCUGCAAUUCAGUUAGCUUCCAAACUCUGCUGUUUUCUUAAAAUCUGUUUUAAAAUAUUCUGUUAAAUGUAGUUUAAUAUACUUACAAAAUGUAUCUUUCUCGUUCAGUGCUUUGCAGUUUGUGGGAAGGAUUGUCUUUAAGUUAAAAGCAAUCAGAGUUGCUUUAUGAGAUUUACAAAAUAUAGCAGAAGAAUUGAAGGGAAUAAUUCAAGUUAGUGAGAAAAUAUUCAAUCAUUGACAAAAUAUUAAUUACAUCAAUAAGCAAGUUAUAAUGGAUUAUGUCUGAUAUUCUAUUUUAGAGUGAAUAUAGUAUAAUAUAAAACAUGUUUAUAAUCAUAAUCAUCACCUACUAAAAAUCUAUCACUUGUGUCAUUCUAAACUAACCAACAUUUUUAAAUGAAAUUUAAACUUUUGAGAUCACCAUUUUCAUGGAUAAAAAUAUAGAUGUAACUAUAGAUGUAGCUAUAGAUACAUCUCUGUAUAAAUGACCUCAGUGUUAAGUUUUAUGCUUAUUUGAAUGUUGCCACUUAAUAUUAAGGCUUUAAUAAUCAUUUAAAAAUUCCAGAGAAUGUUCCCUUCAAAAACAACCCCCCCCAAAACACAACUUUACAUGUCUUGUCUCUUCUUUGCAAUAUAACUUAUUUCUAUACUUGUUACUAUUUUUUUUCCUAACAUGCAAUGGAAAUUAUGUGAAUUUUAUAAAAAAUGUUUUGAAAAGCACAAAAAUGUGUAAUAUGAGAGAUAACACCCUUCCACAAUAAAGGUUCCCUCCCUCACCCAAAAUAAUUACUUUGGCUGCUUGAUGCUUCAUCCUCCAGAUUUUUAAUCAUACCUAUACUAACAUAUAUUAUUCUUUUAAAAUAAAAUUAUACUUGAAAAAUUAUUCUGUCACUUUAGUUUUUCACUAAAUCAAUCUCAGAUACCUGUGUUAAUAUUUGUAUACUUAAUUCUUUUUAAAAGCCUAUAUAGUAUUCCUUGUGUAGAUGUACCAUAAUUUACUAAAACAACCCCUUACUAAUAUAAAUAUUGAUUGUAUGUAAUUUCUCCUUACAAUUCAGCCUCUUGAACUGUGUCCUUUUUUUCCUUUCCACUGCAAACAAGCACCACUCCCAAUUUGGUGUUUUCCAGGAACAGUUUAUUUCUUUUCAUUUGGCCUGUUCCAGGAACAGUUUAUUUCUUUUCAUUUGGCCUGUUUUCUGACUUUUAGGUUUUGUCCUUUUCUUUCUGAAUUAUCCUUUUUAUUCUCCAACUUUUUUCCCAUUUAGGACAAAGGUCCUCUAUACACAAAAUCUUUCCUCUCUGGUACCAGUGUGCUUUCCUCACUCUCUUUCCAGGAGUGAAGAGAAAGAGGCCCUGAAUAUCAGGUUUCUGAUAAGAAACAAGGGGCUGCUACCAGCAGGGAGCCUUGUCAAGAUCUCCCUCAUUCUGAGCACUCCAUUCCCACGUGAACAACAAUGAAUGGAGAUUUCACCCGCCCACCCCACAUUGUUCAAGUUGUCCUUUGCCCUUUCUGUCAAAUCUUGGCACCCAGGAGACAGCAGAACAUGUUCUGAAUUCAACCCUGGGGAGCCACCAAUCAAUAUCAUUUGACUCUUCUUACCCAUUUGUUGUUCUCUUUCUAUGCCUGACGUCCAGUGAGGCCUAAGCUCUUCUUUGUCGUGGCCCCUUCUUGGCUGGCCCAGCUAACCCCUAUAGGGUGGGAUGGCUCACUCCAUCCCCUAGGCAGAAGGCCACAGGCAGAGAGUAGAGCGAGGACAAGGUACAAGGCUGAGUCUUGAGACAUAGGUUCUCUUACUGCUUCAGCUGCAGCCUCAGAGGCUGUGGAGAAAGACUAUUUUAUCUUUUUGUGAUCUUAGUUAUCAAAUACCAGUUAAGAACAUUAAUUGUCCACCUAACUCACAGAAUACUGUAAAGAAUGGAAAUCUAUAAAAUGCUUUGAAAAGAAGAUUCCAAAGAAACAGUUUAUUAUUUUAUACAUCUCUUCUUUUUUGUGCAUAUAUUUUAACUGACUUCCUUUGCUUAUAUCUACAACUCAUUUCUGGUUUUUCCUGCUGUACGAACAUAUACUUGGCCAUGAAUUAAUUCUUCUUUAUGAAACACAGACAAUAUAUUUAUAUUUAUUUCCAAAGAAACUUUCUUUCAGCAGAGGUUUUUUUUGUGUUGUUUGUUUUUUUUGGGGGGGGGUUAUUUUUGAAGGGAACAUUCUCUGGAAUUUUUAAAUGAUUAUUAAAGCCUUAAUAUUAAGUGGCAACAUUCAAAUAAGCAUAAAAACUUUAUAGAGAUUAAACUCCUAUCUGAUAGUAAGUUAGGUACUUAGAAAAUUAGAGUAAUUCUUCUAAGCCAUAAAUAAGUUGGUUAGAAAAAUCAAAACCCUGGAGUUUCUGCUGUGGCAUAGUGGGUUAAUAAUCUGAUGCAGUGGCUCAGGUUGCUAUGGAGGUGUGGGUUCAAUCCCCAGCACAGGGCAGUGGGUCAUAGGAUCCAAUACAGAUUGGAGCUAUGGGUCAAAUUCAGUCCCUUGCCUUGGAACUUACAUAUGCCAUGAGUGUAACAAUGAAAGAAAGAAAGAAAGAAAGAAAGAAAGAAAGAAAGAAGGAAGGAAAAGAAAGAAAGAAAAGAGAGAGAGAGAGAGAAAGAAAGAAAAGAAAAGAAAGGAAAAGAAAAACCAAAACUCUAAACCAACUCUGCAUUUGACUCUAGGCCAAUGUCUUAUUGCUCUGUAUUUGAACCUUCCAACUUUAGUAUUGGUGGAACUUUGAUGCCAAAUGCCAGCUGCCUUUUAAUAAUCAGAUAACAGAUUGUGGGAUGGUUAGAACAGCUCUACAUGACACUGAACUUAAGGGAAAAGUGUUUAAUGCUCUUCAGGUUUAAAGAAAAUUUUAGGAGUUUAAAUGCGACAGAAUUUCAGAAAAUCGGAGAUCUCAUCUCCUGUCAUAGUUCAUGGUAAAAGAAAAGGAUGAGAAAUUCUGUUUUAACUAUUAUGUAACAUUUUUUCAAUUAAAAAAAAUGAGUCUUGAUUAUGCAUGUGUUCUAUUUCUUUCCUUAGUUGAAAACAGCCCAUUUCUAAGUAUACAUUACUCUCACACACCCUCUCUAGUUCAGUCCUUCCUUCCCUGGUGCAUUUUAAUACCAUACCAAUGCACUCUAACAAUAAAUUAUUGUUUGGCCUUUGAUUCUUAAAGACAGAGGAAAAUGCAAAUUUGUCACUUUAUCAGUAAGUGUAUUACUUCUAAUAGACUAUAUACAAUCUCAUAACUCAUCUCAGUCUGAAUAAUCAAGAUCAUUUGAAUUUUUUCUUUCUUUUCUUUUUCUCUUUUUGCUUUUUAGGGCUGUACCCAUAGCAUAUGGAGGUUCCCAGGCUAGGGGCUGAAUCGGAGCUGCACCUGCAGCCUACACCACAGCCACAGCAACAUGGGAUCCAAGCUGUGUCUGGGACAUACACCACUGCACACAGCAAUGCUGGAUCCUUAACCUACUGAGCAAGGUCAGGAAUCAAACCGGCGUCCUCAUGGAUACUAAUUGAGUUUGUUACCAUUGAGGAACAAUGGGAACUCUGAAUUUUUUUUUUUCCUUUUUACAGCCAUGUGGCAUAUGAAAGUUCCCAGGCUAAGUGUUGAAUUGGAGCUACAGCUGCCA
rnacentral:lncRNA from 1 species